GGGGAAUGUUAAGGAUUAAUUAAAUCCUAAUAAUCAAUGCUUAGGUCGGUUGUUUAGUUUAGCAACCGCCAGUUACCGACUAUGUAAUUACCGCCUCUGUACAUGGGUAUAAAUACCCUAUUCUUCAGUCAAUACAAUCACUCAUUUGUUCCCCUCUCUCUCGUUUUACUUUUACACGUUAUCAGCACUCGGCUCUACCGAGAGCGAGAAGGCCACAAAAGCAUAGGAGACGCCUCUGUUCUAGCCCUGCAGCGCGGUGGCCACCAGCGGGCGCGCGACACCGCAGCCCUCGUCCGGCGGCGCGGUCACCCGCACAUAAGCACCACACGAGGCGCCCUCUGGUGCAUGGGGCGUCCUCCGGCGCGGGGUGAUGCGGCCUCGCUCCUCCCGGUGGCGCAGACACCAUCAGCGGGACCCUUCCAGUCGGCGGCGGCGGCAGCCAACGAGUCAAGCACGAACGCCUUAAACGGCGUCAGCACAGCGACUGCCUGAACGAGCAUCGGGAAAUCAAUCAGGAAACACUAAUUCCGUUUAAUUUUAGUUCUUCCCUUGAUCUGAACAUCAACUGCUUUUCUGCACAUAGUAUGUGGAUAUGGUGAGAUGAAUAGAUGGCUGAAGCAUCAACCGGAAGAGAUCAUUGACCAAGGAAGAAAAGCUUCAAUCAAGAAAGAACCAUCCGGUCAGCAAGAACAACAAAAAGAACGAAGAACAAGAGAAAACAUACAAGGAAAAUCUCUUCGAUUUAGUGAUGCAAAGAGCAAAAAGGUACCAUACGUACUUCAGUUUUUCUUGCACUGGAUCAAGCGAUCUGCAACAUCGCUAGCGGUUCCCGCGUCCAUGCGCCUCGCUGCUCAUCCACGGGAUGCAAUGGCUAGAGCACACACGGCGACGCGGAUGACUGGCUGGGGCUGGAAGAGGCACUGCGGCAACGCGACGGCAGCGCCCUCAGGCGCACGCGCAUGGCGCAACGCGCCCUCAUCCGGGGCUUCCUCCGUCACAAGGCGAAAGGGCGGCGUCCAUCCAACCACGGCGACGCUCCCCGGCGACUCUCCCUCACCUGAGGCAUACUUCUCCGGCGGCAGCGGUUAAUCCCUGACCGCACAAGAGAAAUUGGGGAUUCUUAUCCUCUCGGCCAUCUUGCAGUUGAAUCCCAGUGGACGUAUUUAUUUACAUAUAAGUCCCUGGGCUUCUUUAGUCAGGCUAAGUUCAGUCUUUAACCCUCUAAGUAGUCUGGUUGAUACUCCAUUCUACGCCCAUAAUUUAAGUAUGAAGCAUGCAGGUCUUCACAUAUUGC
rnacentral:rRNA from 1 species